GGGUCCGUGGUGCAACGAUUAGCGUACUCUCCCAGAAAGAGUGAGACCUGGGUUCGAAUCCCGGCUGACGCG